rnacentral:rRNA from 1 species
UUGGACCUGAUUUCAGGCUG